CUUGACCUUGUCCUGUCAGAAGCCAAGGGGAGUGCCUGCACUUGAAGAGGAAGCUUUGAGCACAGCGUUUCUUACAUGGGAGGGGCCUCAGUCCAAUGAGUGGUGUCCUCAGAAGAGGAGAGGACACAGAGAGACAGAGAGAAGGCCAUACGAAGAAGAAGGUGGAGAUUGGAGUGACGCUGCCACAACCCGGGAUGCCUGGGACCACCGAAAUUUGGAAGAGGCAAGGAAGGGUCCCCCUCUAGAGCCUUCUGAGGGAGUAUGACCCUGUUGACACCUUGAUUUCAGACUUCCGGCUUCCAGACGCAGCACAGGACUUUGCAACAAAGGACAACGGCUUUGCCAAGGACCGAAGACUGAGUCACUGCUACGGUCCUGGAGAGAAGAGACAGAGAUCAGAGGAGAUCCACGCACAUGAACAAUUUUUUAAGUAAUUCUAAUAACAGAGUUUCUAUCAUACAUUUUUGCCUGAGGAUUUUCACCUGUAUGGAUUCACUUAAUUCUCACAGUAUCCCUCUGCAGCGGGAGAGGCUUAGGUGUUACAUUCUCAUUUAGCAGAUGAAGAAAUUGAGGCUCAGAGAGGAUUACGUAGGUUCUCAUGGGAAAUCAGACAUGAUUCUCAAACUGAAAGUAAUGCUAAUAACACUGUAUCAUCCAGGCUCCCAGCAGGAAACACACAGCACCCUUCAAAGAGGUGAUUCAUGGGAGUAUAAUGAAGGGACUAUUUACAAAGGUGUGCACAGGGUUAAGGGAAACCAGGAUGGGCUAGCGAAGCAUCCCAGGCUAAGCAAGAGCAAGAAAGCUCCUGCUACCCAUAGGCCUGGAGGGGCAAAGAGAUGGAGGGAGCAGUUGCUGGAACUCUGGUGAGAGCUGUGCCCGCAGGAGAGGGCCGCCAGGCAGGAGCCAUUGCCAAGGAAUGAACACCCCAUCGCUCUUUCCUCUCACCCCCUCCCAUUUCUUGUUGGUGCCUCCCAUUGGCCAAAUCCAACUGGAAGCCAGAGGGCAACUACACCCAGAGUAUGCAGUCCGGGAGGUCAGGUUGCCACGGCCGAGAGCCAAACCAGCGGGGAAGAGCGUGGAGCAGAUCUGAGGGGCACAGAAAACCCAUCUAUGAUCUGCUGUGCACUUAUUGCUUGGUGAACACCAUACAAGGGGACUUCCAGGAGGGUCUUGUGCAAGCCUCGCUAUAAUCUUGUGUAGUAGAUAUGAAACCUCAGGCUGACAAUUGACGUGGGUAAAAAUGGAAACUUUGCUUUCUGUAAUUUAAUUUAGUUUCUGUAUGGAGCCUCCC
rnacentral:lncRNA from 1 species